rnacentral:rRNA from 1 species
UAAUAGAGCGUCGCAAUGACUCUCGGCAACGGAUAUCUCGGCUCUCGCAUCGAUGAAGAACGUAGCGAAAUGCGAUACUUGGUGUGAAUUGCAGAAUCCCGUGAACCAUCGAGUCUUUGAACGCAAGUUGCGCCCGAAGCCUUUCGGCCGAGGGCACGUCUGCCUGGGCGUCACGC